AAUUUUGGACAAUGGGCGCAAGCCUGAUCCAGCCAUGCCGCGUGAGUGAAGAAGGCCUUCGGGUUGUAAAGCUCUUUCGGACGGAAGGAAAUCGCGCAGGCUAAUACCCUGCGCGGAUGACGGUACCUUCGUAAGAAGCACCGGCUAACUACGUGCCAGCAGCCGCGGUAAUACGGAGGGUGCGAGCGUUAAUCGGAAUUACUGGGCGUAAAGCGGAGGCAGGUGGUUUGUUAAGGCAGGCGUUAAAACCCCGGGCUUAACCUGGGAACUGCACUUGGGACUGGCAAACUAGAGUACGGCAGAGGGGGGUAGAAUUCCACGUGUAGCCGUGAAAUGCGUAGAGAUGUGGAGGAACACCGGUGGCGAAGGCAGCCCCCUGGGCCGAUACUGACGCUCAUGCACGAAAGCGUGGGUAGCAAACAGG
rnacentral:rRNA from 1 species